rnacentral:sRNA from 1 species
AAGUGAAAUAUUCGGCUCCGCCGAAUAUGAAAUGUGCUUCGCACGUGAAAUAUCUGCUUCGCAGAUGUGAAAUAUCGG